CGAACGCUGGCGGCAGACUUAACACAUGCAAGUCGAACGCUCGUCUUCGGACGGGAGUGGCAGACGGGUGAGUAACACGUGGGAACGUACCCUUUGGUUCGGAAUAACGCAGGGAAACUUGCGCUAAUACCGGAUACGCCCUUUUGGGGAAAGGUUUACUGCCGAAGGAUCGGCCCGCGUCUGAUUAGCUAGUUGGUGGGGUAACGGCCUACCAAGGCGACGAUCAGUAGCUGGUCUGAGAGGAUGAUCAGCCACACUGGGACUGAGACACGGCCCAGACUCC
rnacentral:rRNA from 1 species